rnacentral:rRNA from 31 species
GCGAGCCACCCGCCGA